UACGUAGGGUGCGAGCGUUGUCCGGAAUUACUGGGCGUAAAGGGCUCGUAGGCGGUUUGUCGCGUCGGGAGUGAAAACACUGGGCUUAACCCAGUGCUUGCUUUCGAUACGGGCAGACUAGAGGUAUGCAGGGGAGAACGGAAUUCCUGGUGUAGCGGUGAAAUGCGCAGAUAUCAGGAGGAACACCGGUGGCGAAGGCGGUUCUCUGGGCAUGAUCUGACGCUGAGGAGCGAAAGUGUGGGGAGCGAACAGG
rnacentral:rRNA from 1 species